AGUGAACGCUGGCGGUAGGCCUAACACAUGCAAGUCGAACGGCAGCACAGUAAGAGCUUGCUCUUACGGGUGGCGAGUGGCGGACGGGUGAGGAAUACAUCGGAAUCUACUUUUUCGUGGGGGAUAACGUAGGGAAACUUACGCUAAUACCGCAUACGACCUACGGGUGAAAGCAGGGGAUCUUCGGACCUUGCGCGAUUGAAUGAGCCGAUGUCGGAUUAGCUAGUUGGCGGGGUAAAGGCCCACCAAGGCGACGAUCCGUAGCUGGUCUGAGAGGAUGAUCAGCAACACUGGAACUGAGAAACGGUCCAGACUCCUACGGGAGGCAGCAGUGGGGAAUAUUGGACAAUGGGCGCAAGCCUGAUCCAGCCAUACCGCGUGGGUGAAGAAGGCCUUCGGGUUGUAAAGCCCUUUUGUUGGGAAAGAAAAGCAGCAGGUUAAUACCCCGCUGUUCUGACGGUACCCAAAGAAUAAGCACCGGCUAACUUCGU
rnacentral:rRNA from 1 species